AUAUUUCCAUACACCAAAUAUAGUUGAACUAUUGCAUAAAGUAUUAGAAAAAAAGACCAAAACUCAAAAACUUAACUUUGACCACUGAACCAUGAAAAUGAGGUCAAGGUCAGAUGAACCAUGCCAGCAGGCAUGUACAGCUAACAAUUCUUCCAUACAACAAAUAUAGUUGACCUAUUGCUUAUAGUUUAAGAAAAACAGACCAAAACACAAAAACUAAACACUGAGCAAUGAACCUUGAAAAUGAGGUCAAGGUCAAAUAAAACCUGCGUGACUGACAUAUAGAUCAUAAAAUAUUUCCAUACACAAAAUAUAGUUGAACUAUUGAAUAAAGUAUUAGAAAAAAAGACCAAAACUCAAAAACUUAACUUUGACCACUGAACCAUGAAAAUGAGGUCAAGGUCAGAUGACACCUGCCAGCUAGACAUGUACACCUUACAAUCAUUCCAUACACCAAAUAUAGUAAACCUAUUGCAUACAGUAUAAGAAAAACAUACCAAAACACAAAAACUUAACUAUAACAACUGGACCAUGAAAAUGAGGUCAAGGUCAGAUGACACCUGCCAGUUGGACAUGUACACCUUACAGUCCUUCCAUACACCGAAUAUACUAGACCUAUUGCUUAUAGUAUCUGAGAUAUGGACUUGACCACCAAAACUUAACCUUGUUCACUGAUCCAUGAAAUGAGGUCGAGGUCAAGUGAAAACUGUCUGACAGACAUGAGGACCUUGCAAGGUACGCACAUACCAAAUAUAGUUAUCCUGUUACUCAUAAUA